UUGCAGAAGUUACCACCUACAGAACUCAUUGAACACAGAGAAGUCAAGUGGUUCCUACCUAGAGCCUUUACCCCUGUGGACUAGUGCUCAUGGUCCUGGAACAUACUCUGCAUGUUACCCAGUUCCAAACUCUUCAGUGUACAAGAGUGACUUGGACACUGGUGUGAUAGUGACACAAAUCUUGUGGCAGUAAAUUAGAAUCUGAUUUAACUUAAGGCAUACUCCAUGAAAUGGAACUGAUACUCAAUGCUGUUUAGGUGACCAAGAACUAGAUAGCCUAGUUAGACUAGAUAGCCCAUGGGCACAGAGGAAAACCAAAUUCUACUGUUCUGCUGACGGAGUGUAGCUAAAAUGACUUCUGCUGUACUCAUAGAUCUGUGCCUUGCUCAACCAUUGUUAGAGAAGCUGCCUCCUGCAGCAGAUGGCAACAAAUAGAGACCUAUUGCCAAACAAUUUGCAGAGAGUGAAAAACCUUGGAACACUUAGCCCUCAAAGUGAUGCCUCUAUCAAAUCUCUCUCCUCGUGGCUCAAGGAACUCUGUGGAAGAGGAGGCAGAAAGAGUGUGAGAGCUGAGGGAAUGGAGGACACCAAGCAAUCAAGGCCUUCUGGACACAACAGGGCUGAGGCCCACAGGAUCUCACAGUACCAGGGUAGCAUGAACAGGACCUGCUUGAGUCUGCAACCAGAUGGGGUCUACAGCUGAAAGAGAAAGUUUACAAAUGUCCCCAUCCCUAACCUAGAAGCUAUCUGCAAGCAAUAACCACUUAUGAAUGAAAAGAUGGUUUUUUUGGAAGGGAGUCUCACUGGAAACAAACCACUCGGCAGGACACAGAUCUACUGAUGCCAUGUGUCCAUUUGAAGCUGUCAGAAGAUACUGCCACAAUCUUAAGAGCCUCUGGAUGGGAUGUGCCACUGGGGCUCAGAGGGUUUCAGAAGAAAGAUUUGAUCUGUCCAUAAGGCUGAUGAACAGAAGCGAAGUUCCUCCAAACCAGGCUUGUGAGGGAUGCUCAGCACGCAGAACUCUCAGCACGCAGAACUCAGGCCUCUGGCUCCAGAGUCGCUCUCACUGACCAGUGGACCAGCUCCCAAGGAAUAAACAUCGAUGGGGACCAGCUGGAUUAACUCUUAAGGGGAAAGACAAGGCUCUACAGUGUUCUUUGUGACAGAUUGGAUUGGCAUGUCUCCACGCAGGGACAGAGGUAGACUCCAUCCUUUACAGAGCCCAUCAGAAAAGAAGUAUAGCAAUGUGGCGGCAUAUUCUGAAAUUUGAAUAUCACCUUCUAAGAUUCAUCGAUGAAAACCUUCAAAGCUCUGGCCUGUUAAAGAAAGCGCGUAGUCUGUCCACCUCCCUCCUGUCAAGACAAAAAAUCUGGUCUUUUCAUCGGCAUUCUCUGUAUAAAUCUGCGGAUUUAGUUGUAAAUG
ensembl:lincRNA